GCCGAAGUGGUGGAACUGGCAGACACGCAGCGUUCAGGGCGCUGUAAGUGCAAACUUGUGAGAGUUCGAAUCUCUCCUUCGGCA
rnacentral:tRNA from 1 species